UACGUAGGGGGCAAGCGUUGUCCGGAUUUAUUGGGCGUAAAGAGCGUGUAGGCGGCUGUGGUCAGUCGUGAAUAACUCGAGGCUCAACCUCGAGACGCGUGUGGAAACCAUCUGGCUAGAGUCCGGAAGAGGAGAGUGGAAUUCCUGGUGUAGCGGUGAAAUGCGCAGAUAUCAGGAAGAACACCCUGUGCAAGGCGCUCUCUGGACGGUACUGACGCUGAGACGCGAAAAGCGUGGGGGAGCGAACAGGAUUAGAACUUCUAGUCAGUCCAAGCCA
rnacentral:rRNA from 1 species